rnacentral:rRNA from 1 species
GACGAACGCUGGCGGCGUGCUUAACACAUGCAAGUCGAGCGGUAAGGCCCUUUCGGGGGUACACGAGCGGCGAACGGGUGAGUAACACGUGGGUGACCUGCCCUCAGCUCUGGGAUAAGCCUGGGAAACUGGGUCUAAUACUGGAUAUGACUCCGCGGUGCAUGUCGUGGGGUGGAAAGCCUUGUGCGGCUGAGGAGUGGGCCCGCGGCCUAUCAGCUUGUUGGGUGGGGUGANGGCCUACCAAGGCGACGACGGGUAGCCGGCCUGAGAGGGCGACCGGCCACACUGGGACUGAGACACGGCCCAGACUCCUACGGGAGGCAGCAGGUGGGGAAUCUUGCGCAAUGGGCGAAAGCCUGACGCAGCGACGCCGCGUGAGGGAUGACGGCCU